GGGAGGUGAGGGGAAGAAAAAAAGGGGGGUUAAAAAAGCAAGAAGCCCCUCGGCACCUACAACAAAAGCCGCUCGGAGGGCCGAGGAGCUGCACGAGCCGCGGGCACGCCGUUAGCUGUGAGGGGCGCGGAGGGCCUCGCCCCCCCCCCCCCCCCCCAGCCCGCCUCGCGCCCAACUGUCACGCGCGAGCCGCGCUCUGGGCGCCCCACAGCCGCUGCGACCUCCGCGGUGCGAGGCCGGGGGUUGCGCCCACUCACCCAGAAGAUGACAUUGAAGCCGAAGAUGAAAUAUUUGAUGCAACAACUGACUUCGGGCCCCUUGUAGUGCUUCCCGGACAUCCUCUGCGCUCAUGAAGACACUUUGCUCGCGGCCAGGAUGAAAACCGAAGAGGGUAGUCCUGCUUGCUCUGUGUAUUGUAUCAGUCUGCAGUCCUCAGGGAAGUUGAUGUUUUUCCACCCAGAAGUAUUAACUUCUUAGAAGAAACUGACUGUUUUUUCCCUCUUCAAUCCCUUUCCAGCUCUCUCCCACUACUUCUGCUGACUUCUAGAAGCACUUACUAGCACCAGAAUUAUCACAGAAACUUCCUCCUGGCUAAUAUUACCAAAGAAAGACCCACACAUAACAGCUACAGUUUGUCUUCAUGGUAUCAUCCUCCUACAGCCAGUGGUACCACUGUGUGCCACCUGUGCAUGUCUGUUUUGGACAUCCUCUUCUCUUGGAAGGAAUCCUUCCUACUCAUUUUACCCUUCACUUCUCUUGGUGAUAUCAGCAUCAGUAUAUUCCCAAAAAAGUCAAUUCAAUGUGUGCAAAACAGGCUAGGUUGAAAUACAUGGAUGCUGACACAGUACUGCAAACCCCACAGAACCAAACCAGUAAUAUCAACAAGAACCAUCUGAUCCUAAUGCUGGGAAUAGCUGAACCCAUCUGCUAUGCUUUGUCUUGUCAGUAACAAAGUCUGGCAGGUCACUGGCUGCUCUCAGAGGAUGGACUCUGCUCUGCCACAAAGCAACAAGCCCCAGCUUGGACUUCUGGCCUCCAAAGAAAUUGCAGAGAGCUGGCUUGUCUCCGAGCUUAUAUAACUUCUAACAAACUAUUUUUAGGUGUUGGAUCUAGGUGAAUCAGCCAAACAAUCAAUGUAACCCUGUGAAAACAUUCUCCGAUUCAAAGAAAAACGCAUAGAAUAAAACAUCCUUGAG
rnacentral:lncRNA from 1 species